UGCUCUCCCGAGCCCCAGCUGGGGUCCUGUCCUGUGGGCCCCGGAGCCAGGCUGCAGGGAGACCGGGGGACAGCGGUGCACCAGUCCGCUGCCCUUGUGCUUCUCACAGCGGCCUUGGCCGGCUUCCCGCUGCCUGCUGGAGGAGGUUACCGGUGUCCACCGCCUUGUGUCCCGGUCACCAAGUGUCCCUCCCGCAUGUCCUCUCCUGUGCCUGCCGGCCGCGUGCCUGCAGGACCUUCCUGCGCUCAAGUUGUCCUGGUGGGGCCUUCACGCAGCUCCCGGAGACGCCUGACUCAGAUUCCACCAAACACUCAACCCCCUCGAAUAGCUCCAACCCCAGUGGCCCGCCAAGCCCCAACUCGCCCCACAGGAGCCAGCUUCCCCUCGACAGCCUGGAGCAGCCCGCUGGCGACGCCUGAGGCCCCCUCACCCCGAGCAGUGCCAAGACUGAGCUGACAGUGUUGUCCGCAGAGAUGCAGUCAUCUGUAGAUACAAAACGAAUCUGUAUUAUAAUAAUGACCAGAUGGAUGGCACAUCCCAUGGCGUAGUCCAGAUCGCUCAUCUGCAUAGCUGUGAGGCGACACGUUCCGUUUGCACAUGAAGGACCACCGCACACCUCACCCGCACUGCCGGCAUGGCUCUGGGCCUCGCCUGUGCAGGACCUCAGCACCUGUCUCUCCCCUGUUCCUCGAAACCAUUCCCAAGCCCCUAGGAGAAUAACAGCAAGUUGUGUGCCCUCCCAGCAUCUCAAGACUCACGGACAGGGAGAGCGCAGGUUGGCUGUGGCAGCCGAGUUCACUUUCCCAUUGCACAGCCAGCUGCAGGUGCUGCUGCUGCUGCCUGGCUGUGGACAGAGCCCCAGGCCCAGUGGCACCACAUCCCUCGAGGGAGUCCAUGCUGGGUCACAGCAGAGCCAGCGUGUGUCAUGGAGCAGGCAGGCCACUCUGCCUGCUGGGAGAGAUGCCCAGAGUCUGGGGAGUGCACAGCAGUCAUGGGACCCCUUCCUGCCGCCCGCCCACCCCACCCCGCAUGGAGCCCAUUCCAACCGGGUGGAGACACCGGACACUUCCCCCUCAGUGGCCCGCGUGGCCGGGAUGCCCUUGUGUAUUUAAUCGCACCCUCUCGUGUCCCGUGUCGGGUCAGGUCUGUGGUCCCAUUGUAAAGGCUUGUGAUUGACUGGUGACAGACUCGGCUUGUCCCCAGCUAGCUGUUCAGGACCUGCACUUGGCUGAGUUCGACACUGAGGGCCACACCAUGGUCACGCCCAGCACCUGCUGCCCCACCCACCUUCCAGGCCUGUGUCGCCAAGGUCCCUGCUGGGGGUUCUGGUUUUUACUUUUCUAAUGUAAGUCUGAGUCUUUGUAAUUAUUGAAUUGUGAGAACAUUUUUGAACAAUUUAUCUGUCAAUAAAGCAGAAGAUGGCAGUUUUAAAGCUCUCCGUGGUUUGGGUAUGGUGGUGUCACCCCAAGUGUGCCUGAGUACCUGGGAGCACCUCAUAAUGGCAGUUGCCCCAGACAACAGUGAAGGCAGAGUUCAUGAAAGGGCAGCCCUAUCCAUGUGGCAGCAGUGGGCGCCCGGAGCCCGGGGUCACAUCUCUGCCAGUUUCCAGGUCCCCCAGAGGGGCAUCAGUGGGGCAAGGGACAGGGGUCUCAGCCUGAGGGCAGCGAGCCCUUGAGGUCAUGGUCAGUGGGAGCUGGGCAUUGCGCCCACAAGCCUGGCAGCAGAGUGGGCCCUGGCCACACACAGGACAGGCGGGACCAGCGCGGGGCCACCCCUCCCCUGCCAGGCCAGCUGUCAGGUUGGGGUUGUCUGCCUUCUGCCGAG
rnacentral:lncRNA from 1 species